GCUGGGCGGGAGGCAGAGCCAAAACCGUAACAGCCAGAGCUAGAGACUCCGGCCUGGGGUUCUGGCUCUGUCCCGUAUCAGCUAGGAAACCCAGGGCAAGCUACUUAAACUCUCAGAGGCUCAGCUUUUUCAUGAGCAAACAGGAAAACAGGGCUAAUGAUUAGUCCUUGGCUUAAAAUACAUACCGCGUGUGAAAUUGCAGGUAUAUAAUAGAUUCACUAAAUGAGAGGGCGAGUUAUCAACACUUACUCUCCAAUGCGUCAUCACCCCCAACACUCCUGUGUAUUUCCUGCAAAUAAGGAUCUUCUCCUACAUGGUCAGUCCGAACAACCUUCAGUCACAACUGAGAAGGUCACAUGGUGCAUCACUGCCGCUCAGUCUCCCCAAGCCCAGUGAUUUCUUCACAAUUAGGGAUCUGAGACCCGCAGUAUGGCAGUGACAAGAUCCAAGUCUUGGGACACCUAGCCAGGAGGGAAGAAUUUGAGGGAGAGGUGGAAAAUAUGCGAGGCUGAACUGACCUUCAAGGACAAGAAGGCUGUGUUCAGAUAGACAGAGUUUGUCUUCUGGGAGAGGAGUGGGCUUAUCCAGGAUGAUCCCAAAGGCAGAUUGAGGACCAGUGGGAGGACAUCCUGAGAAAGCAGAUCCAGCUUUAGGCAAGGAAGGACUUCGUAACAGGCAGAGAGCCCAUGUUGGAAACAAGCAGCUCUGCAAGGUGUGGGCCCACUGUCUGACUCCCUGCGGGGCUGCUGCCUUGGAAGAGCCUCCUGCUUAGAGAGGUUCUCCUGCCGCCAGCUGUCUCUCCUGAGUCCUGAGCACCACAUCUCUGGACCGUCUGGAGCCUCCCCUCCCUUGGCUUACUGCUCCCACCACCCUCUCUCUCCACCUUGCAAGAGACACUCUCCCUCAUCCUGGGUCAUCACCCUCUUUAGAGGCGCCGCCUGGCCACGAGGUUGGAUAUGGGGGGUGGGCAGGAUCUUGGCCUUACUUGAUGCAGUGCACACCUCCAACAGGCAUCAGAUGGAGUGCAGCCGGGAGCAAGAUUCUCAUAGCAAUUACAAAGAUUCACAAGAAAAUGUGCCCUCCACUACACAGCUGUAAUUUACAUGCUUUCAAACUUGAUAUGGAAUGACUGUGGUUUCCCCUGAAAGAAGCAUCACUGAUCUCUGCACAGGAGAAACAAGGAUCUUGCUCUGUCACCUAGGCUGGAGUGCAAUGGCACACUCACGGCUCACUGCAGCGUCAAACUCCCAGGCUCAAGUGUUCCUCCUACCUCAGCCUCCUGAGUAGCUAGGACCACAGCACAGGCCCAGACACAAAGCAGAUGUGCAGUGGAGUGUGAAAGAGGCAGCCAACUCACUGGGGAGCUUCAGAGGGAGAUGGCCCAAAUUGCUGGGGCCUAAGAAUCUCCCGGAAUGAAGGAACAGUAGAAAGAACUGGAAGCCAAAUAUGGUGAUAGAGACUCUCAUCAAGGACACUGAGUAAACCAGAAACCUGCUUGGGCUCACGUUCCUUGUCUCUUCUUCUCAGAUCCAGGAAAGGAGCUGUCCAGGACAAUGAGGAUAGGCUGAGGAAAGACAGGCCACGGCCUUGCCUCUGUGCCAGCUCUCAUGGGCCAGGCAGAGUAUCCCAGGACAACUGCCUCCACAACCAGCUCCAUCCUUCAUCAGCAAUUCAGUACCUGAUUAACAAAUCUGUACCCCAGGAGGUUAUGCCAAGUCCAACUUCUUCCAGAGACCACAACAAUAAAUCCAAGCCACUGCUAAUGUCAUUUAUAAGCUGUGGGAUUAAAACAGAGAAGCAAUCAAUUAAUUAAAAUUAGCUCUUUAUUGAAA
rnacentral:lncRNA from 10 species